UCUACCCAGUAUUUCCCUGCCUCCUGUCCAUCUCAGGAGAACCACUUGAGCCCAGGAGUUCUGGGCUAUAGUGCUCUAUGAUGAGGUGUCUGCACUAAAUUUGGCAUCAAUGUGGUGACCUCCCCAGAGUGGGGACUGCCAGGUUGCCUAAGGAGGGGUGAACUGACCCAGGUUGGAAACAGAGCAGAUGAAAAAUUCCUGGGCUAAUCAGUAGUGGAAUUUCACCUGUUAACAGCCACUGCCCUCCAGCCUGGACAAUACAGCAAGAU
ensembl:misc_RNA Metazoa_SRP Metazoan signal recognition particle RNA